rnacentral:rRNA from 1 species
GAUGAACGCUGGCGGCGUGCCUAAUACAUGCAAGUCGAGCGAACAGACGAGGAGCUUGCUCCUCUGACGUUAGCGGCGGACGGGUGAGUAACACGUGGAUAACCUACCUAUAAGACUGGGAUAACUUCGGGAAACCGGAGCUAAUACCGGAUAAUAUAUUGAACCGCAUGGUUCAAUAGUGAAAGACGGUUUUGCUGUCACUUAUAGAUGGAUCCGCGCCGCAUUAGCUAGUUGGUAAGGUAACGGCUUACCAAGGCGACGAUGCGUAGCCGACCUGAGAGGGUGAUCGGCCACCCUGGAACUGAGACACGGUCCAGACUCCUACGGGAGGCAGCAGUAGGGAAUCUUCCGCCAUGGGCGAAAGCCUGACGGAGCAACGCCGCGUGAGUGAUGAAGGUCUUCGGAUCGUAAAACUCUGUUAUUAGGGAAGAACAAAUGUGUAAGUAACUAUGCACGUCUUGACGGUACCUAAUCAGAAAGCCACGGCUAACUACAUG